CAAGCUUAAGCCGAUAGGCGAAGGCGUAGCGAAAGCGAGUCUGAACAGGGCGUUCAGUCGCGGGCGGAAGACCCGAAACCGAGUGAUCUAGCCAUGGCCAGGUUGAAGGUGCGGUAACACGCACUGGAGGACCGAACCCACGCCUGUUGAAAAAAGUCGGGGAUGAGCUGUGGCUAGGGGUGAAAGGCCAAUCAAACUCGGAAAUAGCUGGUUCUCCGCGAAAAUCUAUUGAGGUAGAUCGUUUCGCGUUUACCCUCGGGGGUAGAGCACUGGAUGGGGCUAGGGGGGCCCAAAGCCUUACCAAACCUAACCAAAACUCCGAAUACCGAGGAGUAUAGCGAGGCAGACAGACGGCGGGGUGCUAAGGUCCGUCGUCGAGAGGGAAACAGCCCAGACCACCAGCUAAGGUCCCCAAAUCGUGGCUAAGUGGGAAAAGGAUGUGGGAAUUCCAAAACAACCAGGAGGUUGGCUUAGAAGCAGCCAUCCUUUAAAGAAAGCGUAAUAGCUCACUGGUCUAACUAGAAAUCCUGCGCCGAAAAAUGUAACGGGGC
rnacentral:rRNA from 1 species